UACACACCGCCCGUCACGCCAUGGGAGUUGGCUUUACCCGAAGCCGGUGCGCUGACCCCGCAAGGGGAGGCAGCCGACCACGGUAAGGUCAGCGACUGGGGCG
rnacentral:rRNA from 1 species